CACAGCUAUUUUUUCUUGGGGGGAAGGCUUGUUCUGUAAUGAGACAGGGAAUUGUUUUAGCAGCUUACAUUCUCAACAUAAAUGCAUCUCUCUUCAAUGAAACACUUUGCUGGUCGCACUUAAAAUGGAAGAAGAAAGGAAGGCACGGAGGAGCCUGGUUCAAAUACCUGCAAGCACAGUGGAUCAUGCAGAAGAGAUGGAACAAAAAGCAAUGAUGGUUUUCUAUGGGACAUUUUCCAGUAGUAUUGCAGUCUGAGACCUAUGAAGCCAUCUACUGCACUUUCGGAUAAUAUUUCCUAUUAAACCAUAUUAUUUGGCGACAUCAUUUGUGAAGAUUAAAAGCAGUAGUCUGGAUUUCUGUUCAAAGGCAAUAGCAGCGCACGGGAAAGCCGGCGAUGGCAUGCAGUAUCUCAGGGGGCUGCUAGAUGGAGCUAAAGCAUGGAUAGAAGCGCACCAUGGAACUACUGCAUUGGCUGCUCAGUCACGGGUUAGCUGAGAAUGGAGGAAAACUGAAGAUGUUUUCUGUCCCUCCUGUUUUCUGCAUCACCUCUAAUAAAAAGAUCGCCUCAGCUUCCUCGGUUUCUCAAAAAAAAUGUUACAUUCAGAUUUGCCCCAAAUUACUAUCCUCACAUUUUUACAUACUUCUACAGUAUUUUCUAUUUACAACAAAACUGACGGAAUAUAUUUUGCCAAAGAGACAGUUUACCAAGAAACUGUCAUUUUGGGGAGACUAACAUUAUUUAUGGAAAGAAAUGAGAACUGCUAAAAUAAUUUAUUUCAACAUUUCCAGAAGGAUACGCAUAGACUUCUGGGUUUCUAACAGCAUAUUAAUUCAGAAAUUCAGACUUGUUCAAUUUUUGAGAAUGUUUACUCACUGCAGAAGGGAGAAACAAAGUGAAUAACAUCUAUAAAAUGAAGUGAGUGUUCCAUCAAAAUUGGAAUGGAAUGUUUCAUGUAAAAUGAGAAACAAAGUUUUAUAUUUUUUUCCAGCUUCACGAAGCAAGUAGUAUAAUUGUAGUAAUGUAUUAUAUUGACUAUGUUGUGAAUAAAAAUCAGUUUUGGU
rnacentral:lncRNA from 7 species